AUUGAACGCUGGCGGCAGGCUCAACACAUGCAAGUCGAGCGGGGGAAGGUAGCUUGCUACCGGACCUAGCGGCGGACGGGUGCGUAAUGCUUAGGAAUCUGCCUAUUAGUGGGGGACAACAUCUCGAAAGGGAUGCUAAUACCGCAUACGUCCUACGGGAGAAAGCAGGGGAUCUUCGGACCUUGCGCUAAUAGAUGAGCCUAAGUCGGAUUAGCUAGUUGGUGGGGUAAAGGCCUACCAAGGCGACGAUCUGUAGCGGGUCUGAGAGGAUGAUCCGCCACACUGGGACUGAGACACGGCCCAGACUCCCACGGGAGGCAGCAGUGGGGAAUAUUGGACAAUGGGGGGAACCCUGAUCCAGCCAUGCCGCGUGUGUGAAGAAGGCCUUAUGGUUGUAAAGCACUUUAAGCGAGGAGGAGGCUACUCUAGUUAAUACCUAGGGAUAGUGGACGUUACUCGCAGAAUAAGCACCGGCUAACUCUGUGCCAGCCGCCGCCGUAA
rnacentral:rRNA from 1 species